ensembl:lncRNA
CUCCGAACUCUCUGCAUGUGCAGGAAUUGCCCGUGCUCCGUGCUGGGGGUUUCUGGCUGCAGCGGCUGCUCACCCUAUCCAUUGCCUCUGGUGGAUGCUAAGUAAGCAAUCCCCUGGGUCUUCAUGAGGAGAGGAUGAAGAGUCACAGCUUUGGAGAGCAGAUAAGUUGUUCUCUCUGAGGUCAAGAAGCAGGAGAAAUCCUCCUGUCACACAAAUCCAGGCCAAGACAGGGCACACUCAGCCCUUUGGUGAAUUGUGAUCAUCCACAUGCAGCACUUCCCUGAGGUCAGUGUCACAUCUCCAAUUUAUCUCCUGGAAAUUAUAUUCAGAAAAAAAAAGAUUCCUACUGAAAACAAAAGCUUGUUGAGACAACAGCAUAACUCCUGGAGGUCCAAAAGAACUGAUCCUGCAGGUCUCCUUGUCACACCAGUGAGGGCCUUGGAGUCUGUCCAGUGCUUCCAUGAGCUCCAAUUCCAUCCUGCUGCUGCCCACAGGCGAGAAUGUUCUCUGCUGUUAGACAGAGUUUAGAGGCAUUUGGGACUAUUGGACAAGCAGAGCAACCAGAGUAUUGUAGCACAAUUCCGCAGAGUUGGCUUUGCAUAUGCAACAAGUGGUGCUUAGAUGAUUAGUAACACAACUUGACCUUGAAUUCCAUCACCCACAGCCUGGCAACAGGAGCAGCAGAAGGAAACACUGGACUGAUGCUGAGCAUUAUUAAAGGCAAAUUUAGACCAGGACCAGCACCAUUCCAGCUGGAAGCACUGGGGAAGUAUGUUCCUGUGAUCCCAUAUUAGUGCUUAUGCCCUGACUAACCACAUUUCACAGCUCCUCCUGCACCUGCUCAGUGCUCUGCUCUGUCUCCAUCAUGCACAGACCCUGCCAUGGACUCUGCCCAUGUAAUUGGAACAAGGAGGGAAACCUCUGGCAGACAGACAGAGCUGCAGAGCCUUAACAUCCUCUUGACAUCCUCCCUCCUGGGGGCUGGGAAUUAGCAUAAUCUCUGCUCCUCUGUAGCUCCAAUGCACCAAGGGCAUUUCUGGAAAAUCCUCUUCUCUGAUUUUGCCUCCCACCACCGUUCAAUACUCUAAUUGAUAGAUGGGAACUUUGAGGUGAAGCACAACGUGCUUGGAAUGGGAAAUCCCUGGCAAAACCUGUAAACAUCACAUUACAAAAGGGUAGCUCAGGCUCUGAGGAAUCAGGCCCCAGCCCAACAUUCUUCCAAUCUUAUUGGCUUUGUAAUUCUGCCUCACGCCAAUGGGCAGAAUAAAACACACCAUGAAAGAGGCAGUAUGAAAAAACAGUAUGAAAACACCUUUAAAGCUAUGCCCUUUCCAACUUAGCUGUGAGCAUGCAGCCCUGCAGUGAAAUCCAUGUGCACUCAGGGAAAAAUGUUGCUCUGGAGUGGCAGAACGUGGCUCUUCCAGAACUGUGAAUUGUCCCAUGAACCAAAGAGGAGAAGCCAACAUAAUAUGCCAGCCCUCAUCACAUUCCAUUUUGAAAUAAGGAGACAAUUGUCAAACAGCUUACUAUUUUAUUCUUGUUUUCUUAGACCAGGAUGAGUAGGAAAAGAAGAUGCUGAUUUUCCAGCUUCCAGACACCCAAAAUUUAUUUGACUAGUAUUGUCUGGGAGCCUUAUCCUCAAAAUAAGGCUUAUGACAUCGUGGCUGUGAACACUGACAUUGUGAAUUCAGAUGAGAUGAACACAGUAGAUAUCCUGAAUACCCAGGAUAUUUAAUGACAGUGUUUUUCACUAUUUUGUACACUUCGAAGCACACAACUCAGUCAUUGCUAUUCCACAAUCUUUUCUUUAUAAACAUUUGCCUCAGUUGCUAUUUGCUCUGUACUAUUACUUCCUACCCCCAAAGAUGCAGCUACCAAACAGGAAUCUGUGUGCCAACUCUAUCCCUCCACUGCUUAAAAUCCUGACACUCAGCCUCUUGUUUGAGGGGAAUCAAUACAUGGUCUGGCCUGGAUGGAUAGAAAUUAACUGAUGUGACAUUUCACAAUAAAUGCAGAGCUCUGGGCUAAUGCUCAGAGUGGAUUUAUUUUGCAAAUGAAACCCCCUACUGCAUGAAUUCUUGUAGUUGCAGUUUGCUGGAGGCUGCAAGAGUACAGCAGAGGGAAGUAUAGCUCAGUAUUUGCCUCGUCUCUGCCUUCUUUCCUCAGUUGUUGCAGAGUUAGGGGACAUUUUCAGAAACAAAAUGCUCAGCCAGCUGCAUCUUUGGUCUGAUUAGUUUUUAUAUGUUGGCAACUGUUUUUAAUGUAAAUAUAUACUGACGCAGUCUUAUUUAUAUAAAAUUGCAGAUAUGGUAGAAGAAUUUUAUUAUAUUCAUGGUGAUCUGGAAGAAUAGAUAGGAAAGAAAAAUUAUCUAUGGCUAUAUAUAUCCAGCUAUUCAAGAUAGUUGUUCCUUCUUGUUAAUGAAAGUGCAAGAGCCAUAAAGCAUAUGGUAAGGGAUGCUCCAUCACUUUUAAAGAACAAUUCAGCUAAUGCAGAAAUUAAUUAUGCUGCAUUCCAUAAUUCAGGGAUUCAAUUUUUGAACAUAAUUAAGCUUGUACUGCCUGGUAUUUGAGACACAGGUACAUGUGUUCAGUUUGUGUGUUUCAGA